CCGCGUCCCAUAUUAACUGUAUAGAUGAGGGCAUUUCAACAAGUCCUGUUUCUCAUUCCUAUUGCACUACUUAAACCUAUUUAACUAUUCGGCAUUCAGGGACCAUAGAAUUGGUGUGGUGUGUGGGUCUUGUAAGCUUUCUAGUUCAGUGACCUUAGGGAAUUGAGAUAUAGGGUGUCCCCAAUAGAUGACUGUCCAGCUUCUUGAGGACUUCUUUAAAGAAAUGGCCUCUCCCUAGUACUUGGGCCCAUCACUGAACUGCCACUAUUAUGGUUCUCCUUGUGAUUCUACCUUGCUGUAUUCCAAGCCCACUACUAGCUAUGCCCUGAGCAAAUCAUGUGGGCAACUGUUUUCUCUCUCCUCCCUCUCUUGAAAUUAGAAAACUGUCAACAUCACCAGAUUACUCAUUCUCUUCCCACCACCCACCAGUGACACCUCUAGCUAAAUAUACCUUUUCACCCUGCAGCAUUGCUAAUCCAUGUGGGGUCCUCCACAUUGUCUUUCAAUGGUGUAAAACUUUUUUAAAAGGACUUUAUAUGUGAAAAAGUUUGAAAAUGGAGUAGAGGAUUUUCAAAAACCCAUGAGAAGGUGUGUCAUGCAUCUAUGUUGACUGCCUCUUGUCAGAGACCUAAAAUUCUAAAUGUGCAAACAGAACUUUGCUUGCAUUUUGUACAAGGAGGAUACAUUUCAUUCUUGUUGGGCACCAAGGAUUCUUCUUUUGAGUGAUUCAGUCGUCUCCGCUUCUCUUUUUAAAGCACAGAUAGAAGAGUUACAGACCUAAAGGAUAUUGCUUCAUGGAAUUUUGCUGUAUUGGGAGCAAACUUGAAAACAUAGUGUGGUGUAGUGGUUAAGAGCGGUGGACUCGUAAUCUGGUGAACUGGGUUCGAUUCCCUGCUCCUCCACAUGCAGCUGCUGGGUGACCUUGGGCCAGUCACACUUCUCUGAAGUCUCUCAGCCCCACUCACCUCACAGAGUGUUUGUUGUGGGGGAGGAAGGGAAAGGAGAUUGUGAGCCGCUUUGAGACUCCUUAGGGUAGUGAUAAAGCAGGAUAUCAAAUCCAAACUCUUCUUCUUCUUGGUCAAGAUCCAAAGAAAGGAAUAUUUUGUUGAUGAUUUUGUUCCUGCUUUUCCCAAAGCCUAAGGCACAUUAUGAAACUGAGGGUGAUGGUGAUAAAACUGUACUUAAUGUACAGAGAUAUAGGAAGCUACCCUAUGCCAAGUCAGACCAUUGGUUCUUAUUGCUCAGUAUUAUCUACACUGGGUCCAAGGGUUCAAGCAGGAGGCAUUGCCAGCUCUACCUGGAGAUGCUUGAGAUUGCACCAAUCACCUUUUGUAUGUAAAGUAGAUGCUCCACUACUGAGAUACAGUGCUUCCCCUAUCUCUGUGUAUUCAGUCCAGGUGCUUUGAACCCCUGUAAGAACGGUGGGAGAAUUGAGCACCGGCCAGCACACCUUGUCAGCUUCAGGUCUGAGUGGAUGCUUGACCCCUCCUCUGUCACUGGGCACUGGCAAGAUUAUCUGACUCUGCUGGCACCGUUGAGUGGCUGUGUCUUAGCCAACCUUUCAGUUUUGCAUCAUCUCCCAGAACAGUGCUAGGCUAGAGUCAUUGUGGGAAAUUUUAAAGGGACGGUUAGAUGCAGUCCCCUGGUGCUUUUCUGAUGGUAAAGCAGGGGGGUGGGGAAUCACAGAGAGCCCAGGUCAGAAAAAAAGGAUGCAAAGCAGGUGUCAACAGUAGACCCUAGCAGGGUUCUUGAGCCCUAGCAGAUGUUCAAGAACACCUGCUUCUGGCACUGGUUCUCCUUGUGAGACUUGCACCAUUGCCUUCUAUAUGCCCGGAGGUCAAGAAUUAUGUUUAUCAAGUACUUGCAGGUUGACACACUUGACUAGUGGACUUCAUUUGGUUCAUGUAACCUCAGGGUUUUUGGGGUUUUUUAAUGCUCAUUUUUUCCAUUUAAGACAUUGGGAUGUGAUUGAUCAUAUCACAGGUGGAACCUUUUAAUUGGCUGUCUCUUGGUGGAUGAGCAUUUGAUUUGGGGGAAGCUAGAGGGGUUUGGCCAAUUCCUAGGGUGUUGCAGUUGUUUCCCAGUCUUGGAGUAGUAAACCUGUUCACAGGCAUCUUGCAGUCGGCUUUGUAAAUAACUAGUGUUCCCAAAGUGAUGUGCUUUCCCACAAGUGAAUGAUGCAUGCUAUUGUUGAGACAAGAUACUCUGAAACCUGCACAGUGACUUGUCUCUUCAGCUGCAGGUAUAUCUGUAACAAAACUGCAAAGUAAACAUUAUGCAUAUCCCUGAUUUUGAACUGCAGCUGGGAUCUCCAGGUGGUACUGUAUGUCUGCUUCUUAAAAGGCAAGAUCAUAGAAAAAAGACCACUACCACAAUUACUGUGUGUUGCCCGCUACUACCCUAUGUCUAUUACUUUCCCACCUUUUGAGUCCAAUGGGUCAAAAUAACAACAGGUUGUUGAUUAUCAGUAGGUCAUGAACAGAAUGCAUUUGCCAGUCCUUUUCUCCCGGAGAGUUUUGUGGUCUUUGCCACAAUUCAAAUGUCCACGAGACUCCCAUUCAUGCACUGAGCUCCACCAGAGCAGGGUGGUGAUUCCCAUUUUGGUGGCGAGUAAUGAAUUACUCGUAACAAAAGAUGCAGAUCAGCCUCAAUAAUCAAACAAUACAAUGAAUCCUCUGUUCACAUGGAGCUUCACUGUUUCUGUGCAGGCAUUGGAGCUUUACACUUUGGGUUAUUAUGUUUCAAGAAUUUUGCAACAUCUCCUCUCACUCCCAAAUCAUCAGUAUAUAAAGAGAGAACCCCGUAGCUCCGGUUGUGGCAGCGUAUCAUCAGAGGAUGGGUGGGUUUUUUUAAGUACUUCAAAGUUUCACUGAAGGCAUUCAUGGGCUGUAUUCUUUUCUCCUCCAGCUAGAAGAUGGAAAUAAAUAAAAGGAAAGAUGCUGAUAUAUCACAAGCAGUUACUGCAAAUAUAUCACUGGGGAGGCGUGUGAGAGUUUUGAGCCAGAUAGAGCUACAGAUAAGUGUCUCUGCACUGGGCAUCAGAUAGCAAAAUCUAUGCCAAGAGAUUGCUCCUGUAGGAGUAAUAAAUACACACCUUAUCUGUAAUGAUUCUCCAACUUCAUAAACCCUGCAUUAAUGGCAUUCAUUGCAUCUUUUUCAUGUCUCUCAGGUCUUAUUUUUAUGAGACUUCCAUUUUUGUGUGUGUUAAUUUUACGAAAAUUGCACCAUCUGUUGUUGUUGGGUGUGUGGUGUUUAUUUUCCUCUCUCUCUCUCUUUCUCUUUUUUUUCUUGGGUCUAGCUAUUGACUUAAACUAGAUGCAAGCAGUAAUUCCCAGCGUGUGUUUUGAGGUAUGCUGUAUAAAGCACCUGUAUAACCUCCAAAGUAGCCAUCAGCAGACAGAAGAGCUUUCCCACGGUGUCUUUUCAAGAUUUAUUCUGGCCUCCUUCCAGUCAACCUCCAUGCAUUGCUGACAAUUAUGUCUCUGUGUAGCCAUCUGAUUUGGUGAAUUGUAUUCUCAUUGGUGUUAUUUUUUAUUUUCCUAACCCAUCAUAUUCAUUGUGUCCCAGGUGUGUAAUAAACUAUGGCAAGGAUGCUAGAAGAGAUGCAUGUAGCUCAGUUGGUAGAACAUGAGGCUCUUAGUUUCAGGUUCGAGCCCCAUGUUGGGCAAAAGUUUCCUGCAUUGAAGGGGGUUGGACUGGAUGACCCUCGCAAUCCCAUCUAACUCUACAAUUCUAUUAUAUGCUUUACAAGGCCGGGGGCGGGGGCGGGUCUAGUUUAGAUCUAUUGGAAAAUCCCCAUAUCUCUUGAAAUGAACAAACCACACCUUGCUUUUAGCGCUCACCUUCCCCCUUUAUUAGGUGUGAGGAGGAGUAGCUCUUUAGAAAUGGUUGCUUUGACUUUUAAACAAACCACUGUUGAGGUUACAUCUGGACAGGGAAGAUUGUGGUUUGUUUAAACUCUAGCUAGCUCAAACCAAGCAGUAUUGGAAACCGCACUUAGAUUCUGGCACAUUUUAAAAAUAGUUUCUUUAAAAUCAGAAAUGAAAGCUAUGACUCAUCCAUGCAGUGGGAAACCAUAUUUCCUGUUACAUUUUGACUGUUCCAUUGAUGGUUUUAUUUUUUACAUUAUUUUUUAAAUGUUUCCUUGCCCUUGUCAACAGUGCCAUAGACAACGUGGAUAAUGAUGUUAUGAACCAGCUUGACUUUGUCCAAUAUGUUUUUCUGCCAAUCCUAAAAACUUGAUAUUGAUAUCACAGUGUGAAGAUAGUGCUCUGGUAUCUCAGGAGUAAAAGUAUAAGUAGCAAGGGACAUGGGAGUUGUAAUUGCCCUGUAACUUCCCAUUUUAUUGAACUGUAAAAUAAACUGUUGUGUAAAACCUGUGUAAGUUGCUGAUGCAUAAGCUAAAGCUGCCCCAGGGUUCCAUUAACCUACACAUACUGUCCUUGUAAAUUUUUCCUCCAUGGUAUUUAACGUAUUUAGGGAUUUGUGCCAUCCCUGUUCUUUUUAGCUUGUUGGCUCAAAAAACUCCUUUGUAAAAAGUUUUUUCGACCCCAGUUAAAAAGAGUUGAAACAGAACAUUUUGAGCUACUUCUGUCCAGAGUCGUAGCACAUGUGAAAAUUCAACUCUUCUGCUGCAGUUGACAUCAUACAGCAUGGGUGCCACAGUGCCUGCGAUGAAACUAGAGUUAGUUGAGUGUUGUCCUGUAGGAUGAAUCUGAAUGGUGCAGAAGCACUCUUCUCAGCUGUUUCCAUAGCUUCCGUCCUUCCUGAGCCAAUCAAGGCCCAAGUUUCUAGCCCUGUGAGACUCAAGUCCUGCUAUGAAGACAUGCAUAAUGUGAUUAUUGGGUCUGACAGCUGCCUGGAUUAAGAGUGCUUGGAGCCUCUUUGUCCCAAACUCUUUGUCGGUAUGGUGGGAUAUUAUCCUUCAACAUAUUAAAAAUACUUGGGCGAGGCUUUAGUGUCCCAUGCUGAGGAACGAAAGCCUUAAUGGCUCUUAUAACAGCUUCCCAUUCCCUAUAUUUAAGAACUAAUUGGGGUGCUGUUGUGUGUUUCCAGUCCAUCUAGCUUGAUAUGGCUUGCACUAACUGGAAACAGAUCUCUGAGAUUUCAGACUGGGGGCGUUCCCAGCCCUACUUAGAGUAGACCUGUUGAAAUUAAUGAACAUGACCAGCAUAGUUCUAUUGAUUUUAGUGGGUCUGCUGUGUUCUGAGUAGCCCUUAGUUGGAUUUGUUGUUGUUUAGUCGUCUUAGUCGUGUUCGACUCUCCGUGACCCCAUGAACCAGAGCAUGCCUUGGGAACUCUCACUUUCUUCUCAAAGCUUCUCCUUUUUUAUGUCCAUGGAGUUUUCUUGGCAAAAUACUGGAGUGGUUUGCCAGUUCCUUCUCCAGGUGGAUCACAUUUAGUCUAAACUCUCAGCUAUGACCUGUCCAUCUUGGGUGGCCCCCGCACGGCAUAGCUCAUAGCUUCUCUGAGUUAUUCAAGCCCCUUUGCCACAACAAGGCAGUGAUCUAUGAAGAUCACUUAGUUGGCUUAGUUGGAUACAACCCUAUAUAUUUUAGCAAUCCAAAGAUCGCUCGGAAUGUUUGCUUAGAAUGUUGUCAGACAUCCUGGGUUCAUUAGGGACAAAGGGCAGGAUACAAAGUGAAUAAAUAAUAAAAUGAUAGUUGCUGUUAAUACUGUACAGUUGUACCUUGGAUCCCAAACACCUUGUAAGUCGAAUGUUUUGGCUCCCGAAUGCUGCAAACCUGGAAGUGAGUGUUCCGGUUUGCAAACGUUCUUUGGAACCCGAACAUCUGACAGGGCUUCCGCAGCUUCUGAUUGGCUGCAGGAGCCAAUCAGAAGCCUCACUUUGGUUUCCAAACGUUUUGGAAGUCGAACGGACUUCCGGAAUGGAUUCUGUUCCACUUCCAAGGUCCAACUGUAAUACUAAUAGAAAACUGUGUUAACUUGCUAUUGUUGAUUUCAUUCCUCAUUAAAGAAAACAUGUUUUUUAUACCAGUCAUUAGAUAAAUAUUGCACAGAUCUUCAAUGUACAGAUUUUUUUUUCCUUU